GACGAACGCUGGCGGCGUGCUUAACACAUGCAAGUCGAACGGAAAGGCCCUGCUUUUGUGGGGUGCUCGAGUGGCGAACGGGUGAGUAACACGUGAGUAACCUGCCCUUGACUUUGGGAUAACUUCAGGAAACUGGGGCUAAUACCGGAUAGGAGCUCCUGCUGCAUGGUGGGGGUUGGAAAGUUUCGGCGGUUGGGGAUGGACUCGCGGCUUAUCAGCUUGUUGGUGGGGUAGUUGCUUACCAAGGCUUUGACGGGUAGCCGGCCUGGGAGGGUGACCGGCCACAUUGGGACUGAGAUACGGACCAGACUCCUACGGGAGGCAGCAGUGGGGAAUAUUGCACAAUGGGCGGAAGCCUGAUGCAGCAACGCCGCGUGCGGGAUGACGGCCUUCGGGUUGUAAACCGCUUUCGCCUGUGACGAAGCGUGAGUGACGGUAAUGGGUAAAGAAGCACCGGCUAACUACGUG
rnacentral:rRNA from 1 species